rnacentral:rRNA from 1 species
GCCAGACUCUACGGGAGGCAGCAGUGGGGAAUAUUGGGCAAUGGACGCAGGCCUGACCCAGCAACGCCGCGUGAAGGAAGAAGGCUUUCGGGUUGUAAACUUCUUUUGACAGGGAAGAGCAGAAGACGGUACCUGUCGAAUAAGCCACGGCUAACUACGUGCCAGCAGCCGCGGUAAUACGUAGGUGGCAAGCGUUGUCCGGAUUUACUGGGUGUAAAGGGCGUGUAGCCGGGCUGACAAGUCAGAUGUGAAAGCCCGGGGCUCAACCGCGGGACUGCUUUUGAAACUGUUAAGCUUGAGUGCAGGAGAGGUAAGCGGAAUUCCUAGUGUAGCGGUGAAAUGCGUAGAUAUUAGGAGGAACACCAGUGGCGAAGGCGGCUUACUGGACUGUAACUGACACUGAGGCUCGAAAGCGUGGGGAGCAAACAGGAUUAGAUACCCCAGUAA